UUCGCAAUGCCCGAAAGGGUGACGAAGCGACGCCGCGUGUGGGAAGAAGGCCUUCGGGUUGUAAACCACUGUCGGGAGUUAAGAAAUGCAAGGGUGUUAAUAGCGCCCUUGCUUGACUAAGGCUCCGGAGGAAGCCACGGCUAACUCUGUGCCAGCAGCCGCGGUAAUACAGAGGCGGCAAGCGUUGUUCGGAAUUAUUGGGCGUAAAGAGCACGUAGGCGGCCUUGUAAGUCAGUUGUGAAAGCCUUCUGCUCAACGGAAGAACAGCAUCUGAUACUGCAAGGCUAGAGUGCGGAAGGGGAGAGUGGAACUUCUGGUGGAGCGGUGAAAUGCGUAGAUAUCAGAAGGAACACCGGCGGCGAAGGCGACUCUCUGGUCCGUAACUGACGCUGAGUGUGCGAAAGCUAGGGGAGCAAACGGGAUUAGAUACCCCGGUAGUCCUAACCGUAAACGAUGGGCACUAAGUAGAGGGGUUUU
rnacentral:rRNA from 1 species